rnacentral:rRNA from 1 species
UACGGAGGGUGCAAGCGUUAUCCGGAUUCACUGGGUUUAAAGGGUGCGUAGGUGGGCUGGUAAGUCAGUGGUGAAAUCUCCGUGCUUAACAUGGAAACUGCCAUUGAUACUACUGAUCUUGAAUUUUCUGGAGGUAAGCGGAAUAUGUCAUGUAGCGGUGAAAUGCUUAGAUAUGACAUAGAACACCAAUUGCGAAGGCAGCUUGCUACAGGGAUAUUGACACUGAGGCACGAAAGCGUGGGGAUCAAACAGG